rnacentral:rRNA from 1 species
AACGGCGGUGUUAAACCUUAAAGUAGCGUGAUAAGUCGGCCUUUAAUUGGGGUCUGGUAUGAAGGGGUUGACGUCGGAAAAACUGUCUCAGAAAAAUUAAAUGAAAUUUACUUUUAAGUGAAAAGGCUUAAAUGAGAGUAAAAGACGAGAAGGCCCUGUCGAGCUUGAGGGAUUUGAAUAUUUAGUAAAUGUGAUUAGGAGUUUGGCUGGGGCAGCAAUGGAGAUAGCCUCCGUUUUUAAAGCAAAGAUCCAUUAUGUUCAAGAUAAUGAAAAAGGAAAAAGCUACCGCAGGGAUAACAGCACGAGACCGCCUCAGAGGUCGUAUCGAAGGCGGUAAGUGUGACCUCGAUGUUGGAUUAGGGUAAACCUCUUUGUGCAGGAGCAAAGUGGGU